GGAGGGGUGCCCGAGUGGUCAAAGGGAGCGGUCUGUAAAACCGCGGCUUCACGGCUACGCAGGUUCAAAUCCUGCCCCCUCCA
rnacentral:tRNA from 1 species